GAGUGUAGUAAAGCUUUUCUCUAAGUCUGAUAUAAAAAUCUUCAUAUUACUAAUAAUGAUAAAACAGCUUUACUCAAUCAAUUGAAAUAAGUAUUUUUCAACUCAUAUCUGAACACUUCAUUUUCAUCCUCUGAAUCAAGUUGCGUUUUUACACUAUAUUUUAUCGAGUGAAAAGUUAGAAUUUCUUUAAAAUAAUUUUGAAUUAUUUCUAUAUAUAAUAAUUUGGAUAACUCUCUGUUAAUCACCAUCUAUUUCGUGUUGAGUCAUAUGUAUAUGAAUAACUAUUAAAUCAUCCUGGUUUUCUCCAUCAAAAAAUCUUAUAUUUCAGAUCCCUAUUCAUUCUAAAUAAAAGAUUUUGUAUAUAAAUACUUACAGAAAGUAGACUAUCAGAAGUUUCUAAUCAGUUGUAUUUUUGAAAUUUAACCAAAGUUAGCAAUCGCUAGCUUCGGUUAAAUUUU
rnacentral:misc_RNA from 1 species